UUGUCAAACAAAUUAAGCUACCAUACACCGAGUCCAGGGAGACCUAGCUUUUCACUCAGUUUAACUCAGCUUGAAAAGACUCCAACCCCUUUCCUGAUACAUUCAAUUCAUCCAAGCCUAAGAAAUAUAAAGUUGGAGGAGACUAAGGAGAAACAAAUCAGAACAUCAAUAGUUAACUCUUCCUUGAACUCCGAUUAAGAUUUAGCUUCUCAUGAUGGGCGGGAGUACAUGGUAUUACAAAGGAAGGACUUCUGGACCUUGAAGCCCCGGAGUUGGGUCAACAGCUACAUAAUUAUAUGAACUUAAUCAUGCUUUUUAAUUCCCUAUCUUUAU